rnacentral:rRNA from 1 species
UUACUCUUCGGAGUGAGAGCGUACACAGGUGCUGCAUGGCUGUCGUCAGCUCGUGUCGUGAGAUGUGGGUUAAGUCCCGCAACGAGCGCAACCCUCGCAUUCAGUUGCCAUCGGUAAGGCCGGGCACUCUGGAUGGACUGCCGGCGGACAAGCCGGAGGAAGGUGGGGACGACGUCAAGUCAUCAUGGCCCUUAUGUCCAGGGCGACACACGUGCUACAAUGGCCGGCACAACGGGAAGCGAAGGGGCGACCCUGAGCGGAUCCCCAUAAAAGCCGGUCCCAGUUCGGAUUGCAGUCUGCAACUCGACUGCAUGAAGUUGGAAUCGCUAGUAAUCGUGGAUCAGCCAAGCCGCGGUGAAUACGUUCCCGGGCCUU